GCGAGUCUGGCCGAGUGGUUAAGGCGUUGUGUUUAGGUGGUCCCGGGUUUCCCGACGACUGAUAUACUUGAUCCGCAAUGUGCAUCGCACGCGUAGGUUCGAUCCCUACGGCUCGCA
rnacentral:tRNA from 1 species